AUUGAACGCUGGCGGCAAGCCUAACACAUGCAAGUCGAACGAGUGGCGGACGGGUGAGUAAUGUCUGGGAAACUGCCUGAUGGAGGGGGAUAACUACUGGAAACGGUAGCUAAUACCGCAUACCAUCGGAUGUGCCCAGAUGGGAUUAGCUAGUAGGUGGGGUAACGGCUCACCUAGGCGACGAUCCCUAGCUGGUCUGAGAGGAUGACCAGCAAAACUGGAACUGAGAAACGGUCCAGACUCCUACGGGAGGCACCAGGGGGGAAUUUUGCACAAUGGGCGCAAGCCUGUUGCAGCCAGGCCGGUUGUAUGAAGAAGGCCUUCGGGUGUUAAAGUACUUUCAGCGGGGAGGCGUUACCCGCAGAAGAAGCACCGGCUAACUCCGUGCCAGCAGCCGCGGUAUUC
rnacentral:rRNA from 1 species